CGGAGGGUGCAAGCGUUAAUCGGAAUUACUGGGCGUAAAGCGCACGCAGGCGGUCUGUUAAGUCAGAUGUGAAAUCCCCGGGCUUAACCUGGGAACUGCAUUUGAAACUGGCAGGCUUGAGUCUUGUAGAGGGGGUAGAAUUCCAGGUGUAGCGGUGAAAUGCGUAGAGAUCUGGAGGAAUACCGGUGGCGAAGGCGGCCCCUGGACAAAGACUGACGCUCAGGUGCGAAAGCGUGGGGAGCAAACAGGAUU
rnacentral:rRNA from 1 species